GCCUGGGUGGCUCAGUCGGUUAAGCGUCCGACUGUGGUUCAGGUCAUGUUCUCGCAAUUUGUGGGUUCGAGCCCCACGUCGGGCU
rfam:Felis catus isolate Cinnamon breed Abyssinian chromosome B4, whole genome shotgun sequence.